rnacentral:misc_RNA from 1 species
UUUCCGUAGGUGAACCUGCGGAAGGAUCAUUAAUGAGUUGUCAUGGGGUUCGAUGCUGGCAGCCAAUUUUUGGAUGCAUGUGCUUGCCCUAACAAUCAUCUUCCAAACACCUGUGCACAUUUUUGAGGGAGUCUUGAGUUGGUUGCCGCUCUUGGGUGAUUUUCUCACAUUCCCUUAAAUCAUUAUACGCUAUUAACAAUGUUGAACGUGCUCUGUGCCGCAAGGCUAUUAAUAUAAUACAACUUUUAACAACGGAUCUCUUGGCUCUCGCAUCGAUGAAGACGCAGC